AUUCAGAAAACGAUAAUAGUAACUUCCGCUAAUUUUCUGCUCGGAAUUCUCUUGAAUGUGACAUUUUAGCAUUUUGUUCUCUACUAACUUUAUAAGUGUUGUUAUUAUUUUUGAUUCAGUCUCCGAGUUGCCUUUUUCUAUUCGUGAUAACCACUUUACUCUGCUCUGUUCUACAUAGACUGUUUAAAACGUGCCCGCAUAAGUUAGAGCAUUUGAUCACCAAUUGUUCAUACAUACAGUUGUACCACAUUCGCUGCCUUUAAUCAUUCAUUUAUAGCUAAAUGUACUUUUAUGUACCAAGGCUGUUAAUUGAUUAAUUUAAUGAAAUAAGAAUCUUCAAUCAAGUAAUAUUGCAUAUAAAAAAAUAAGAGAACACAGCUGUUUGAUGUCCUGGAAAACAUAUGUAUGAGAAAACAAGCGAAAGCCAAAUAUGUAAAAUAUUGAUUUUCCACAAGUCUGCCCUUAUAAUGAAUAGUUGAUUUAGUAGCAGCAGUGUGUGAUACUCGUGUUGAAAGAACAAGUUUAAUUUAUGUACGUUUUGCAAACAUAAUUUAAGCAAGUGAUAUUUUUACUGAGCUUCAGUUAAAGAGG